ensembl:lncRNA
UGUUUGAUGAGCUGAGAGAAGCGUGGGUGUUUGAUGAGCUGAGAGAGGCGUGGGUGUUUGAUGAGCUGAGAGAGGCGCGGGUGUUUGAUGAGCUGAUGAGCUGAGAGAGGCGCGGGUGUUUGAUGAGCUGAGAGAAGUGGGGGUGUUUGAUGAGCUGAUGAGCUGAGAGAGGCGCGGGUGUUUGAUGAGCUGAGAGAAGUGGGGGUGUUUGAUGAGCUGAUGAGCUGAGAGAGGCGCGGGUGUUUGAUGAGCUGAGAGAGGCGCGGGUGUUUGAUGAGCUGAGAGAAGUGGGGGUGUUUGAUGAGCUGAGAGAGGCGC